AGGGGGCGGUUUCAGCAGCCUCAGGGAAAGGAGGUGGCGCUCUCUGCUCCGGCCAUUUUCAGCUCUGGUGGAGCCAGGCUUGCAAUCUGUAACCUGGAGGGA
rnacentral:lncRNA from 1 species